CAUGCCGCGUGAGUGAAGAAGGUUUUCGGAUCGUAAAACUCUGUUGUUGAAGAAGAACAUAUGUGAGAGUAACUGUUCACGUACUGACGGUAUUCAACCAGAAAGCCACGGCUAACUACGUGCCAGCAGCCGCGGUAAUACGUAGGUGGCAAGCGUUGUCCGGAUUUAUUGGGCGUAAAGAGAAUGUAGGCGGUUUAUUAAGUUUGAAGUGAAAGCCCUCGGCUCAACCGAGGAAGUGCUUCGAAAACUGGUAAACUUGAGUGCAGAAGAGGAAAGUGGAACUCCAUGUGUAGCGGUG
rnacentral:rRNA from 1 species